UAAAUGCUGAACAGAAUUUAACCAACUCCCUCACUAGUCUCACAUUGUCCUUGUGGCAAUACGUACCCCUGCUCCAGUCAAGACCA